rnacentral:rRNA from 1 species
GACGAACGCUGGCGGCGUGCUUAACACAUGCAAGUCGAACGGAAAGGCCCUGCUUUUGUGGGGUGCUCGAGUGGCGAACGGGUGAGUAACACGUGAGUAACCUGCCCUUGACUUUGGGAUAACUUCAGGAAACUGGGGCUAAUACCGGAUAGGAGCUCCUGCUGCAUGGUGGGGGUUGGAAAGUUUCGGCGGUUGGGGAUGGACUCGCGGCUUAUCAGCUUGUUGGUGGGGUAGUGGCUUACCAAGGCUUUGACGGGUAGCCGGCCUGAGAGGGUGACCGGCCCCAUUGGGCCUGAGAUACGGCCCAGCCUCCUACGGGAGGCAGCAGUGGGGAAUAUUGCACAAUGGGCGGAAGCCUGAUGCAGCAACGCCGCGUGCGGGAUGACGGCCUUCGGGUUGUAAACCGCUUUCGCCUGUGACGAAGCGUGAGUGACGGUAAUGGGUAAAGAAGCACCGGCUAACUACGUG